AGAGUUUGAUCCUGGCUCAGGAUGAACGCUAGCGGGAGGCCUAACACAUGCAAGCCGAGCGGUAUUUAUUCUUCGGAAUAGAGAGAGCGGCGUACGGGUGCGUAACACGUGUGCAACCUGCCUUUAUCUGGGAGAUAGCCCUCCGAAAGGGGGAUUAAUAUUCCAUAAUAUCUCGUUGGGCAUCCAACGAGAUUGAAAGCUCCGGCGGAUAGAGAUGGGCACGCGCAAGAUUAGAUAGUUGGUGAGGUAACGGCUCACCAAGUCUGCGAUCUUUAGGGGGCCUGAGAGGGUGAUCCCCCACACUGGUACUGAGACACGGACCAGACUCCCACGGGAGGCAGCAGUGAGGAAUAUUGGACAAUGGGUGCAAGCCUGAUCCAGCCAUCCCGCGUGAAGGAUUAAGGUCCUAUGGAUUGUAAACUUCUUUUAUACAGGGAUAAACCUCUCCUCGUGAGGAGAGCUGAAGGUACUGUAUGAAUAAGCACCGGCUAACUCCGUGCCAGCAGCCGCGGUAAUACGGAGGGUGCAAGCGUUAUCCGGAUUUAUUGGGUUUAAAGGGUCCGUAGGCGGGCCGAUAAGUCAGUGGUGAAAUCUCGCAGCUUAACUGUGAAACUGCCAUUGAUACUGUCGGUCUUGAGUAAAUUUGAAGUGGCUGGAAUAAGUAGUGUAGCGGUGAAAUGCAUAGAUAUUACUUAGAACACCAAUUGCGAAGGCAGGUCACUAAGAUUUAACUGACGCUGAUGGACGAAAGCGUGGGUAGCGAACAGGAUUAGAUACCCUGGUAGUCCACGCCGUAAACGAUGCUAACUCGUUUUUGGGCACUUGUGCUCAGAGACCAGGCGAAAGUGAUAAGUUAGCCACCUGGGGAGUACGAUCGCAAGAUUGAAACUCAAAGGAAUUGACGGGGGCCCGCACAAGCGGUGGAUUAUGUGGUUUAAUUCGAUGAUACGCGAGGAACCUUACCAAGACUUAAAUGGGAAUUGACAGAUUUAGAAAUAGAUCCUCCUUCGGGCAAUUUUCAAGGUGCUGCAUGGUUGUCGUCAGCUCGUGCCGUGAGGUGUUAGGUUAAGUCCUGCAACGAGCGCAACCCCUAUAUUCAGUUGCCAGCACGUAAAGGUGGGAACUCUGGAUAGACUGCCGGUGAUAAACCGGAGGAAGGUGGGGAUGACGUCAAAUCAUCAUGCCCCUUAUGUCUUGGGCUACACACGUGCUACAAUGGACAGUACAGACGGACGCGAAGCCGUGAGGUGAAGCAAAUCCGAGAAAGCUGUUCUUAGUUCGGAUUGUAGGCUGCAACUCGCCUGCAUGAAGUCGGAAUUGCUAGUAAUGGCAGGUCAGCAUACUGCCGUGAAUACGUUCCCGGGCCUUGCACACACCGCCCGU
rnacentral:rRNA from 1 species